AGUGAACGCUGGCGGUAGGCCUAACACAUGCAAGUCGAACGGCAGCACAGUAAGAGCUUGCUCUUACGGGUGGCGAGUGGCGGACGGGUGAGGAAUACAUCGGAAUCUACCUUUUCGUGGGGGAUAACGUAGGGAAACUUACGCUAAUACCGCAUACGACCUACGGGUGAAAGCAGGGGAUCUUCGGACCUUGCGCGAUUGAAUGCGCCGAUGUCGGAUUAGCUAGUUGGCGGGGUAAAGGCCCACCAAGGCGACGAUCCGUAGCUGGUCUGAGAGGAGGAUCAGCCACACUGGAACUGAGACACGGUCCAGACUCCUACGGGAGGCAGCAGUGGGGAAUAUUGGACAAUGGGCGCAAGCCUGAUCCAGCCAUACCGCGUGGGUGAAGAAGGCCUUCGGGUUGUAAAGCCCUUUUGUUGGGAAAGAAAAGCAGCAGGUUAAUACCCCGCUGUUCUGACGGUACCCAAAGAAUAAGCACCGGCUAACUUCGUG
rnacentral:rRNA from 1 species